rfam:Myotis davidii contig50596, whole genome shotgun sequence.
GGCAGUUCUCAGGUGAUGCACCCCAGAGUCAGAGUCCCUCCUUUCUGGUUCUGGGUGCGUCACCCGAGAACUACA